GACGAACGUUGGCGGCACGCUUAACACAUGCAAGUCGAACGAGAGAAGAGAAGCUUGCUUUUCUGAUCUAGUGGCGGACGGGUGAGUAACACGUGAGCAAUCUGCCUUUCAGAGGGGGAUACCGAUUGGAAACGAUCGUUAAUACCGCAUAACAUAAUUGAACCGCAUGAUUUGAUUAUCAAAGAUUUAUCGCUGAAGGAUGAGCUCGCGUCUGAUUAGCUAGUUGGUAAGGUAACGGCUUACCAAGGCGACGAUCAGUAGCCGGACUGAGAGGUUGAUCGGCCACAUUGGGACUGAGACACGGCCCAGACUCCUACGGGAGGCAGCAGUGGGGAAUAUUGCACAAUGGAGGAAACUCUGAUGCAGCGAUGCCGCGUGAGGGAAGAAGGUUUUAGGAUUGUAAACCUCUGUCUUCAGGGACGAAAAAAGACGGUACCUGAGGAGGAAGCUCCGGCUAACUACGUGCCAGCAGCCGCGGUAAUACGUAGGGAGCGAGCGUUGUCCGGAAUUACUGGGUGUAAAGGGAGCGUAGGCGGGAUCGCAAGUCAGAUGUGAAAACUAUGGGCUUAACCCAUAAACUGCAUUUGAAACUGUGGUUCUUGAGUGAAGUAGAGGUAAGCGGAAUUCCUAGUGUAGCGGUGAAAUGCGUAGAUAUUAGGAGGAACAUCAGUGGCGAAGGCGGCUUACUGGGCUUUAACUGACGCUGAGGCUCGAAAGCGUGGGGAGCAAACAGGAUUAGAUACCCUGGUAGUCCACGCCGUAAACGAUGAUAAAAGGGUGUGGGGGGACUGACCCCUUCCGUGCCGCAGCAAACGCAAUAAUAAUCCACCUGGGGAGUACGACCGCAAGGUUGAAACUCAAAGGAAUUGACGGGGGCCCGCACAAGCAGUGGAGUAUGUGGAUUAAUUCGAAGCAACGCGAAGAACCUUACCAGGUCUUGACAUCGUAUGCAUAGCUCAGAGAUGAGUGAAAUCUCUUCGGAGACAUAUAGACAGGUGGUGCAUGGUUGUCGUCAGCUCGUGUCGUGAGAUGUUGGGUUAAGUCCCGCAACGAGCGCAACCCUUACUGUUAGUUGCUACGCAAGAGCACUCUAGCAGGACUGCCGUUGACAAAACGGAGGAAGGUGGGGAUGACGUCAAAUCAUCAUGCCCCUUAUGACCUGGGCCUCACACGUACUACAAUGGCUGUCAACAGAGGGAAGCAAAGCCGCGAGGUGGAGCAAACCCCUAAAAGCAGUCUUAGUUCGGAUUGUAGGCUGCAACCCGCCUACAUGAAGUCGGAAUUGCUAGUAAUCGCAGAUCAGCAUGCUGCGGUGAAUACGUUCCCGGGCCUUGCACA
rnacentral:rRNA from 1 species